rnacentral:rRNA from 1 species
GUGGGGAAUCUUGCGCAAUGGGCGAAAGCCUGACGCAGCCAUGCCGCGUGAAUGAUGAAGGUCUUAGGAUUGUAAAAUUCUUUCACCGGGGAAGAUAAUGACGGUACCCGGAGAAGAAGCCCCGGCUAACUUCGUGCCAGCAGCCGCGGUAAUACGAAGGGGGCUAGCGUUGCUCGGAAUUACUGGGCGUAAAGGGCGCGUAGGCGGACAUUUAAGUCAGAGGUGAAAGCCCAGGGCUCAACCUUGGAAUUGCCUUUGAUACUGGCUGUCUUGAGUUUGGGAGAGGUGAGUGGAACUCCGAGUGUAGAGGUGAAAUUCGUAGAUAUUCGGAAGAACACCAGUGGCGAAGGCGACUCACUGGCCCAAUACUGACGCUGAGGCGCGAAAGCGUGGGGAGCAAACAGGAUUAGAUACCCUGGUAGUCC